AACACUGAGGCGUGAUGACGAGCCGCUACGGCGGUGAAGUGGUUGAUGCCCGGCUUCCAGGAAAAGCCUCUAAGCACCAGGUCACAGACAAUCGUACCCCAAACCGACACAGGUGGUCAGGUAGAGAAUACUCAGGCGCUUGAGAGAACUCGGGUGAAGGAACUAGGCAAAAUGGUGCCGUAACUUCGGGAGAAGGCACGCUGGCGUUAGGUGAAGGGAUUGACUCCCGGAGCCGAAGCCAGUCGCAGAGACCAGCUGGCUGCAACUGUUUAUUAAAAACACAGCACUGUGCCAACACGUAAGUGGACGUAUACGGUGUGACGCCUGCCCGGUGCUGGAAGGUUAAUUGAUGGGGUUAGCCGCGAGGCGACGCUCUUGAUCGAAGCCCCAGUAAACGGCGGCCGUAACUAUAACGGUCCUAAGGUAGCGAAAUUCCUUGUCGGGUAAGUUCCGACCUGCACGAAUGGCGUAAUGAUGGCCAGGCUGUCUCCACCCGAGACUCAGUGAAAUUGAACUCGCUGUGAAGAUGCAGUGUCCCCGCGGCAAGACGGAAAGACCCCGUGAACCUUUACUAUAGCUUGACACUGAACAUGGAGCCUUGAUGUGUAGGAUAGGUGGGAGGCUUGGAAGUGCGGACGCCAGUCUGCAUGGAGCCAUCCUUGAAAUACCACCCUUGAAUGUUCGAUGUUCUCACUUAGGCCCGUCAUCCGGGCUGAGGACAGUGUCUGGCGGGUAGUUUGACUGGGGCGGUCUCCUCCCAAAGCGUAACGGAGGAGCACGAAGGUUGGCUAAUCACGGUCGGACAUCGUGAGGUUAGUGCAAAGGCAUAAGCCAGCUUAACUGCGAGAGUGACGGCUCGAGCAGGUACGAAAGUAGGUCUUAGUGAUCCGGUGGUUCUGGAUGGAAGGGCCAUCGCUCAACGGAUAAAAGGUACUCCGGGGAUAACAGGCUGAUACCGCCCAAGAGUUCAUAUCGACGGCGGUGUUUGGCACCUCGAUGUCGGCUCAUCACAUCCUGGGGCUGAAGUAGGUCCCAAGGGUAUGGCUGUUCGCCAUUUAAAGUGGUACGCGAGCUGGGUUUAGAACGUCGUGAGACAGUUCGGUCCCUAUCUGCCGUGGGCGCAGGAAGAUUGAAAGGGGCUGCUCCUAGUACGAGAGGACCGGAGUGGACGCACCGCUGGUGUACGGGUUGUCAUGCCAAUGGCAUCGCCCGGUAGCUAAGUGCGGGAGAGAUAACCGCUGAAAGCAUCUAAGCGGGAAACUUGCCUUGAGAUGAGUCUUCCCUUGACUUUAGGUCACGGAAGGAACGUUUAAGACGAAGACGUGGAUAGGCUGGGUGUGUAAGUGCAGCGAUGCAUUGAGCUGACCAGUACUAAUGAACCGAGAGGCUUAACCUUACAACGCCGAAGGGGUUUUG
rnacentral:rRNA from 1 species